UUGGGAUCGUAAGUAAAAAGAGGAGCCGGCUGGGACUUCGGGACAAGAUAAAUUUAUAUACAUGAACAACUAACUAGAAUGGAGCGGAAAGGGAAUUCGAUGGUCAAUAAAACAUAGCAUGCGAUGGCCAGAAAAAGUUGUGACGCAAUGUGAUUAUGCUCAGUGCUCUGAAUGUAAAGUGAAGAAAUUCAAACAAGCGCGGGUAAACGGCGGGAGUAACUAUGACUCUCUUAAGGUAGCCAAAUGCCUCGUCAUCUAAUUAGUGACGCGCAUGAAUGGAUUAACGAGAUUUUCACUGUCCCUAUCUACUAUCUAGCGAAACCACAGCCAAGGGAACGGGCUUGGAAUAAUCAGCGGGGAAAGAAGACCCUGUUGAGCUUGACUCUAGUUUGACUUUGUGAAGUGGCUUAGGAGGUGUAGCAUAAGUGGGAGCUUUUUCCCUAAAAAGAAAAGCGAUCUUGAAAUACCACUACUCUUAAUGUCACUUUUACUUUAUUCCGUUAUAUUGAGCCCUCCUUUGAGAAAUCAAGGAGUUUUUUGUAUUAAGGUAGAGAUAUUUUAUUAUCUGCUGAACUUCGCGGAAGACAUAGUCAGAUGGGGAGUUUUGGCUGGGGGCGGCACAUCUGUUAAAAAGUAACGCAGGUGUCCCUAAGGUAAGCUCAAUGAGAACAGAAAUCUCAUGUAGACUAAAAGGGGAAAAGCUUACUUGAUUUUGAUUUUCAGUACGAAUACAAACUGUGAAAGCAUGGCCUAUCGAUCCUUUUAGAUCUGUGAAAAUUACAGCUAGAGGUGUCAGAAAAGUUACCACAGGGAUAACUGGGCUUGUGGCAGCCAAGCGUCCAUAGCGACGUUGCUUUUUGAUUCUUUCGAUGUCGGCUCUUCCUAUCAUUGGGAUGCAGAAGUCUCCCAGUGUCGGAAUGUUCACCCCGCUAAUAGGAACGUGAGCUGGGGUUAGACCGUCGUGAGAACAGGUUAGUUUUACCCUACUGAUGAAUAUGAUAUUGCGACAGUAUCCACUUAGUACGAGAAGAACAGUUGGGUCACAUAAUUGGUUAAUGCCGCUAGUUGAAAGCUAGUGCCCCAACCUACCAUGUUGUUGGAUUAUGACUGAACGCCUCUAGUCAGAAUCCCUGCUGGGA
rnacentral:rRNA from 1 species